rnacentral:rRNA from 1 species
CCAGACUCCUACGGGAGGCAGCAGUGGGGAAUAUUGCACAAUGGGGGAAACCCUGAUGCAGCAACGCCGCGUGAGCGAGGAAGUAUUUCGGUAUGUAAAGCUCUAUCAGCAGGGAAUAGAAAAGAAGGUACCUGAAAAAGAAGCCCCGGCUAACUACGUGCCAGCAGCCGCGGUAAUACGUAGGGGGCAAGCGUUAUCCGGAUUUACUGGGUGUAAAGGGAGCGUAGACGGCCAUGCAAGCCAGGGGUGAAAGCCCGGGGCCCAACCCCGGGACUGCCCUUGGAACUGCAUGGCUGGAGUGCGGGAGGGGCAGGCGGAAUUCCUGGUGUAGCGGUGAAAUGCGUAGAUAUCAGGAGGAACACCGGCGGCGAAGGCGGCCUGCUGGACCGCGACUGACGUUGAGGCUCGAAAGCGUGGGGAGCGAACAGGAUUAGAUACCCCCGUAC